CCACUUACGUGAAACGAGGCAGGGCAGGUUCCCACCGCCCAACCCAAGCGCGUCCUUCGCGUGGGGUCCGUGUUCCUCAGCCCGGCUCUUGCUCUCGUAGCCCCACUGGCCGGGCCCGCCCUCCGCGCCCGGGACUUGCCUGGUUGGGGUCUGUAGCGCGGAAAACGUGGCAGGCCAUCUGAGACUCGGGGUCGUCAGGCUGCGCUUUGAUCAGGCGCCGCCGACACUGUGCCAACUACUGCCCCGGGUCACUGCGCCCGCCUCAGUGCUGCGAGACCCCGCGCGUCUGCGGCCCUGCCCCGUGCAGCUCUGCCC
rnacentral:lncRNA from 1 species